rnacentral:lncRNA from 1 species
UCAGGGCUCGCGCUGCUCCCCUCAGAGCGCGGCGGGAAAAUCCGGUCCAGUCCGGUCCCUCAGGGCUCGCGCUGCUCCCCUCAGAGCGCGGCGGGAAAGUCCGGUCCGGACCCGUCCCUCAGGACGCGGCGGGAAGCUCUGGUCCCGCACAUCUCGUCAUCCCUGGGACUCCGGCUGGAUUUUGUCGCUGCAACUGUUAGUUGGCUCUUGCUGUAAUUGAUGGACACUGCCAGUUGCUUAGACAGAUGGGAAUUAAUACUGGUGUUCCCAUUAGAACUCGCCAUCACAGUCACGUUGGCUUUGGUCUCCUGCAGUGGGUUGAUGUGUGCAAGAGAGUACGCGAGGAAGGAGCGAGCAUGGCUCCUGCCUGCAGCACUUGCCUUCCAGGGUACUGGAGCCAUCCAUCCAGCACAGAGCAGAUGAGCUACUUGCCAGCAGCUUGCAAAACACAUGGCUUUGAGAUGGUGAGGAAAAUGCUUCUUUGCUGGAUGCUGAGAGAUUGCAGUGAGUAGGACUCUGAUCCGCAGAGGUGUCUGUGAGCUGUAGAUACAGCUUCUGUGGAUUGGAGAUGCACUGGAGCAGCUGAUGUUGAGAACUCUAUCAAGGAACUGCAAAAGCACUUGGUAAUUCAGCCUCAAAACCUAGCAUGAGACAGCUUUUUGAACAUAUAUGUACAUUUGUAAACCUGCAUUUUCUAUGUAUUAAAACAUCUUUGUUUUCUUCUGAAAGCUGUGUAGAGCAGCUGAGCACUCUAUGUGCUGCUUUCCACACUGAGUUUUUCCUGCAGUGCCUUCUGAACUCUUGUUGGCAUGAGGGUAGGCCGGAGUAACAUCUACAGCCCAUGACAGCAGCAAAAUGAGGCUAACAAAUAUCCUUCUGAGGAUGCAGCG